UACGUAGGGGGCAAGCGUUGUCCGGAUUUAUUGGGCGUAAAGAGCGUGUAGGCGGCCAUACAGGUCAGCUGUGAAAACUCGAGGCUCAACCUCGAGACGUCGGUUGAAACCGUAUGGCUAGAGUCCGGAAGAGGAGAGUGGAAUUCCCGGUGUAGCGGUGAAAUGCGCAGAGAUCGGGAAGAACAUCGGUGGCGAAAGCGCUCUACUGGACCGCAACUGACACUCAGGGACGAAAGCUAGGGGAGCGAAUGGG
rnacentral:rRNA from 1 species